CUACGUAGGUGGCAAGCGUUGUCCGGAAUUACUGGGUGUAAAGGGAGCGCAGGCGGGAGAGCAAGUCAGUGGUGAAAUGCAUGGGCUUAACCCAUGAACUGCCAUUGAAACUGUUUUUCUUGAGUGGAUCAGAGGCAAGCGGAAUUCCGAGUGUAGCGGUGAAAUGCGUAGAUAUUCGGAGGAACACCAGUGGCGAAGGCGGCUUGCUGGGGUCUAACUGACGCUGAGGCUCGAAAGUGUGGGGAGCAAACAGGAUUAGAUACCCUGGUAGUCCACACCGUAAACGAUGAUUACUAGGUGUGUGGGGUCUGACCCCCUACGUGCCGGAGUUAACGCAAUAAGUAAUCCACCUGGGGAGUACGGCCGCAAGGUUGAAACUCAAAUGAAUUGACGGGG
rnacentral:rRNA from 1 species